UUGGAAAGCGGUGGCCAUCGCGCUCUGUUUUUCUUUCACCCCUAACAAAAAUGUUUUGACUUUUUUCUAGGAAAAAGAAAUUGGGCCUUUCUGUUCGUCCUCCACUCCACCGGCUCCUGGCUCCUCUGGACUUCUGGGCAGAAGAAAAGCAGUCUGACAGCCUGACUCCAGCUAACACCAGUGAUGCUGCGGAGGCGGUGACUCCAGACAAUGCCAGUGAUGUUGCGGAGACAGUGACUCCAGACAAUGCCAGUGUUGCUGCAGAGACAAUGACUGACUCUAGACAAUGCCAAUGGUGCUGUGGAGACCAUGGUGGCAUCCCCUACCUUCAGAAAACCCUGGUUUUUGUUUCUGUUUUUAUGUUUUCAAAUAAAAGCUAAAUGUUAA